rnacentral:lncRNA from 1 species
UUUGAAGCGUCUAUGAUAAACAGAGAGCAAAUUAGAAUCCAAGGAAGUUGACAUGUCAUCACUUCAUUUUUUUGCGCCUGCGCAUAAAUCUGAGAAGCGUGAGUUUGUCAUCAUUGUUUAUCUAGACAUAGGAUAGGUUGUGUGAAAAUAUUACUGAUGUUUAACGUUAAAAAUGGACCAAAAGAUUAAUGCUAAACAACAUUUGACAUGUUUGAACGAAAAUAAAUAGAUUAUUUACUAGGUUUUUUUAGCUUUUCGGCGUGAUUUUACACUCCCCCCACCACGUUUUGAGGGAGCAUAAUGAACGCUAAGUACUUGGUGUUAUUUGGACAUAAAUUAUGAACUUUGUCAAAAGAAACCACAUUUGUUCCGGACCUGGGAUGCCUUCCGGACCUGGGAUGCCUGCCUUCUGAUGGAGAUAAUCAAAGCCCUGGGACCAUGCCUCAGGACUACUUGGCCUGAUGACUCCUUGCUGUCUCCAGUCCACCUGGUCGUGCUGCUACUCCAGUUUCAACUGUUCUGCCUGUGGCUAUAGAACCCUGCCCUGUUCACCGGACGUGCUACCUUGUCCCGGACGUGCUGUUUUGGACUCUCUCUACCGCACCUGCUGUCUCUAACUCUGAUCGGCUAUGAAAAGCCAACUGACAUUUACUCCUGAGGUGCCGACCUGUUGCAUCCUCUACAACCACUGUGAUUUUAUUAUCUGACCCUGCUGGUCAUCUAUGAAUGUUUGAACAUCUUGGCCAUGUACUGUUAUAAUCUCCACCCGGCACAGCCAGAAGAGGACUGGCCACCCCUCAGAGCCUGGUUCCUCUCUAGGUUUCUUCCUAUGUAUAUGUAUUAAUUAUAGAUGUGUCAGUUAUUAAUGAUAAACCUUAAACUGCACUCCUCCUCCCCUCCCUCCCUAUCUCUCCUCAUCUCUCUCUAUUUUUUAGCUCCAGAUGACACAACCUGCACACAAUUCAAGGGUUGCAGGUCUGCCGACUUCCUUCUGGUCACAUUGUAUUCGGAGAAAUAUCCAAUAAAC